rnacentral:rRNA from 1 species
CAUGCCGUAAACGAUGAGUGCUAAGUGUUAGGGGGUUUCCGCCCCUUAGUGCUGCAGCUAACGCAUUAAGCACUCCGCCUGGGGAGUACGACCGCAAGGUUGAAACUCAAAGGAAUUGACGGGGGCCCGUACAAGCGGUGGAGCAUGUGGUUUAAUUCGAAGCAACGCGAAGAACCUUACCAGGUCUUGACAUCCCAGUGACCGCUCUAGAGAUAGAGUUUUCCCUUCGGGAACAUUGGUGACAGGUGG